CAAAGAAAAUGUCCAAGGAAAUGUCUACUGAAAUGAAUCGAAACCCCAGAGGGGAAAAGGAGAAGCGCCAGUGCCCAGCAGUCAAGGCCUUUCGCGACCCAAGGCGAGGCCCAUGGUGCAGCUGGUCCCUGUCUCCACUGGCAGGAGAGGGUGGCGCGGCGGAGGCUCCCGGAAAGUGUGCUGGAGAAGAGAAACGAGUUGGUACACGCACAGUAUUUGUUGGCAAUCAUCCAGUUUCAGAAACAGAAGCAUACAUUGCACAAAAAUUUUGUGAUAAUAGAAUAGUCUCAUCUAAGUAUACACUUUGGAAUUUCCUCCCAAAGAAUCUGUUUGAACAGUUUAGGAGAAUUGCAAAUUUUUAUUUUCUCAUCAUUUUCCUUGUACAGGUCACAGUAGACACACCAACUAGCCCAGUUACCAGUGGACUUCCACUUUUCUUUGUUAUAACUGUUACAGCCAUCAAACAGGGAUAUGAGGACUGGCUGAGACACAGAGCAGACAAUGAAGUCAACAAGAGCACUGUUUACAUUAUUGAAAAUGCAAAACGAGUAAGAAAAGAAAGUGAAAAAAUCAAGGUCGGUGAUGUAGUAGAAGUACAGGCAGAUGAAACCUUUCCCUGUGAUCUUAUUCUUCUAUCAUCCUGCACAAUCGAUGGGACCUGUUAUGUGACUACAGCAAGUCUUGAUGGGGAAUCCAAUUGCAAGACACAUCAUGCAGUACGUGACACCAUUGAACUGUGUACAGCCGAAUCCAUUGAUACCCUCAGAGCAGCCAUUGAAUGUGAACAGCCUCAGCCUGACCUCUACAAGUUUGUUGGCCGAAUCAAUAUCUAUAGUAAUAGUCUUGAAGCUGUUGCCAGGUCUUUGGGACCUGAAAAUCUCUUGUUGAAAGGAGCUACGCUAAAAAAUACCAAGAAGAUAUAUGGAGUUGCUGUUUACACUGGAAUGGAAACCAAAAUGGCAUUGAACUACCAAGGGAAAUCUCAGAAACGUUCUGCUGUUGAAAAAUCCAUUAAUGCCUUCCUGAUUGUGUAUUUAUUUAUCUUACUGACCAAAGCUGCAGUAUGCACUACUCUAAAAUAUGUUUGGCAAAGCACCCCAUAUAAUGAUGAACCUUGGUAUAAUCAAAAGACUCAGAAAGAGCGGGAAACUUUAAAGGUUUUGAAAAUGUUCACCGACUUCCUGUCAUUUAUGGUUCUAUUCAACUUUAUCAUUCCUGUGUCCAUGUAUGUCACAGUAGAAAUGCAAAAAUUCUUGGGCUCCUUCUUCAUUUCAUGGGACAAGGACUUUUAUGAUGAAGAAAUUAAUGAAGGAGCCCUGGUUAACACAUCAGACCUUAAUGAAGAACUUGGUCAGGUGGAUUAUGUAUUUACAGAUAAAACCGGAACACUCACUGAAAACAGCAUGGAAUUCAUUGAAUGCUGCAUAGAUGGGCAUAAGUAUAAAGGUGUAACUCAGGAGGCUGAUGGACUUUCUCAAACUGAUGGACCCUUACCGUAUUUUGACAAAGCAGAUAAGAAUCGAGAAGAGCUCUUUCUGCGUGCCUUGUGUUUAUGUCAUACUGUGGAAAUUAAAACAAAUGAUGCUGUUGAUGGAGCUACUGAAUCAGCCGAAUUAACCUAUAUGUCCUCUUCACCAGAUGAAAUAGCUUUGGUCAAGGGAGCUAAAAAGUAUGGGUUCACAUUUGUAGGAAUUCGGAAUGGCCAUAUGAGAGUAGAAAACCAAAGAAAAGAAAUAGAAGAGUAUGAACUUCUUCACACCUUAAAUUUUGAUUCUGUCCGCCGUCGUAUGAGUGUAAUUGUGAAGACUCAAUCAGGAGACAUUCUUCUCUUUUGUAAAGGAGCCGACUCAGCAGUUUUCCCCAGGGUGCAAAAUCAUGAAAUUGAGUUAACUAAAGCCCAUGUGGAACGUAAUGCAAUGGAUGGGUAUCGGACACUUUGUGUAGCCUUCAAAGAAAUUGCUCCAGAUGAUUAUGAAAAAAUUAACAGACAACUCAUAGAGGCGAAAAUGGCCUUACAAGACAGAGAAGAAAAAAUGGAAAAGGUUUUUGAUGAUAUUGAGACAAACAUGAAUUUAAUUGGAGCCACUGCAGUGGAAGACAAGCUACAGGAUCAAGCUGCUGAGACCAUUGAAGCUUUGCACGCAGCAGGUCUGAAAGUCUGGGUGCUUACUGGGGACAAGAUGGAGACAGCCAAAUCCACCUGCUAUGCCUGCCGCCUUUUCCAAACCAGCACCGAGCUCUUGGAACUGACCACCAAAACCAUCGAAGAAAGUGAAAGGAAAGAAGAUCGAUUACAUGAGUUGUUGAUUGAAUAUCGUAAGAAGUUGCUGCAUGAAUUUCCUAAAAGUACUAGAAGCCUUAAAAAAGCAUGGACAGAACAUCAGGAAUAUGGAUUAAUCAUCGAUGGCUCCACACUGUCUCUCAUAUUAAAUUCGAGUCAAGACUCUGGUUCUAACAAUUACAAAAGCAUUUUCCUACAAAUUUGUAUGAAGUGCACUGCAGUGCUCUGCUGUCGGAUGGCACCAUUACAGAAAGCCCAGAUUGUGAGAAUGGUGAAGAAUUUAAAAGGCAGCCCCAUAACACUGUCGAUAGGUGAUGGUGCCAAUGAUGUUAGUAUGAUCUUGGAAUCCCAUGUGGGAAUAGGUAUUAAAGGCAAAGAAGGUCGGCAGGCAGCCAGGAAUAGUGAUUAUUCUGUUCCAAAGUUUAAACAUUUAAAGAAACUGCUCUUGGCUCAUGGACAUCUAUAUUAUGUGAGAAUAGCACACCUUGUGCAGUAUUUCUUCUAUAAGAACCUUUGUUUCAUUUUGCCACAGUUUUUGUACCAGUUCUUCUGUGGAUUUUCACAACAGCCACUGUAUGAUGCCGCUUACCUUACAAUGUACAAUAUCUGCUUCACAUCCUUGCCCAUCCUGGCCUACAGUCUGUUGGAACAGCACAUCAACAUUGACACUCUGACCUCAGAUCCCCGAUUGUAUAUGAAAAUUUCUGGCAAUGCCAUGCUACAGUUGGGCCCCUUCUUAUAUUGGACAUUUCUGGCUGCAUUCGAAGGAACAGUGUUCUUCUUUGGGACUUAUUUUCUUUUUCAGACUUCAUCUUUAGAAGAAAAUGCAAAGGUAUAUGGGAACUGGACUUUUGGAACCAUUGUUUUUACAGUCUUAGUAUUCACUGUAACUCUGAAGCUCGCCUUGGAUACUCGUUUCUGGACAUGGAUAAACCACUUUGUGAUUUGGGGUUCUUUAGCCUUUUAUGUGUUUUUCUCAUUCUUCUGGGGAGGAAUUAUAUGGCCUUUUCUCAAACAACAGAGAAUGUAUUUCGUAUUUGCUCAAAUGCUGUCCUCUGUAUCCACAUGGCUGGCCAUAGUUCUUCUAAUAUUUAUCAGCCUUUUCCCUGAGAUUCUUCUGAUAGUAUUAAAGAAUGUAAGAAGAAGAAGUGCCAGGGUAACGAAACGCCUCCCUUCCUCAGGAACAUCUACUAUCUUCAUGCUUUCUCAAACUUCCAGCAAUCACAGUUUCUCUUGGAGUGAAUAAGAGAAAUCUGAGCUGUAAAAAGGCAUCUGACUCAUUAUCCACCAGACCUUCAGUCAGACCUCUUCUUUUACGAACAUUCUCAGACGAAUCUAAUAUAUUGUAACAGAAUCCGAAUCUUGAACUGCCUAUGUUACUGUCCUACAAGCAUAUUGACAGUGGUUACAGCUAAAAGAGAAAGCAUGAAGAAACAACUACAAAAAGUUUUCAUCUCAGGAUACUCGAUAUGCAACAAACUAAACCACUAUCUUAAGUCUAAGGUUCAGAAUAAAUGUCCAUUAAAAUACCAAAUGACUCUCUUUAAGUAUUUACAGUUAUUGUAAGCAGCCGUUAUGGCCAAAGCUCUAAGUUAUGAAUUAUAUGAAAGUUGAAAGCAAGAUUAUUUAGAAUUUCUGGCUUUAGAUAGAAUAAAAUAACUACCAAAUGAGUGCUCUUUUAACCCAUGAACUCUGUGAAUGGAUUUAAAUACAAUAGUAUAAAGUAGAAGUCAUGCAAUGGGAAUGAAUAGAUUUUGCUAAUACUACUUUUUUUGCCUGGCAGAAGAAAUAGGCUGUUUGGAUCACAUUUCUUGUUCCUGCUGAAUGAUAAUCUUAAAUUAUUUUUUUCAAUAUAUGAAAGGAAUACUUGAAAAUAUGAGGACUAAAUCAAUACAUCAGAUAAUCCUUUCUGUUCACCCCCAUGCUAAUUUUGUCCUGAUAGAAUAUCCUUGCCAAAAAAAUAUCUUGAAUACUUACUAUUUUUUCUUCUGAAUUACACCUAAUGGGUGUAAGAUUUGAAAAUAAAGCAUUUCCAAUCACUUAGUAGCCCCUCAAAACAGUUAAGAUUUAAUAGAUUUUUCCGGUAUUAGUUUUAUUCAGAUCUAAGGCAAGCUGGGGGAAAAUGUAGUUACAUAAAAAUAAAGGCCAUUCUGAACAUCGUGGAGAGGUAGGAAGAAUAGCUGAUUUCAAACUAAUGGUUUUUAUUUGAAAGAGGUUGCGUCUGUGCAUAUAUGUAGCACUUUAUUUUUUUUAACUUGCCAAUUGGGGGAGGAGGAGGGGUUCAUCCAAGAGAGUGGUUCCACCUGCAGAGCACAACUCUGUGAACACGAGUGUUGUUUCUCUUAGCAGACUGGACGAGGGUAAUGGUCCGACUCUAAACCAUGAGAUUCACCCAGGUGUCAAGUCCUCGAUUUACCGGACUUGAGGGAGGGUUUAGCUUCCUAAGGAGUUUGCUUAAAACAUAAAAGUAAAUGUGAUCUGUCUUUACCAAAUGUUAAAAUUAAACACAUUUUUUUUUAUAUAAAUGACAUCAUUUGACGACUAGAUUGAAAUGACCUUUUAAAAAGUGUUUUCAUACCAGUUUCCACUUUUAUUUUUUUUUCGGGCAUGCCUGUACUAUUAUUAGUGUUUAUAUUGUACCUUAAUUUGGAAAAGUAUUAGAUUUAGUCUAUACCAGUGUAUUUAUAUGGUCCAUAUGGCACAUUUGAUUCUUCCAUGUGUAUUUUGUGUUAAUGUUUAGCUGUAAUUUUUCUUAAAUUCUAGAAAGGACAUAUUUAGUUAUCAGAAACCAUUCCAUCAUUAUUGACCCUUUUUCAUCAUUUCAUCCGUCAGUAUUAUUGUUGAGUAUUUUGUUAAGCGUCCUCAUACCUUCCUAAGUGUGCUGUGUUCUGGUAGCCUGUAUUUGAGGUUUGAAGUAGUCUGCUGAAAACCAAGUCAAUAUAUUCUUAUUCCAAAGAGCUGAAAAAAUCAGACCCAGGAAAGCUUUCAAUGUUUUGUUGUUGUUCUUGUUUUUAGUAGUUGUUGUCUCUCGUAUUGUUCUUGUUUUACAUAAGAAUUAUAGGGACUGUGAAUACAGAGAGCCCACCUUAACUAGAGGAGCUUGUUUGAUGCAGACCAUUGGAGAUUGGACAUAAUCAGAAUAUCUGGGGUAGUGGAUAUAUAACUGGUGGCAUAUAAAAUUCCCUUUAGCCUGGAAGAAAGACAAGGAGGAUUUAGAGUCGCGUCUUAGCUGCAUAUUACACGGCAGCUCAAAUUCACGACGGCCGUGAUGUAUAAUAUCAUGGUCUGGAUCCUUGAGAAGGACAUGACUUUAUUGUUUGAAAGGUAUUUUUUCAUGAGCUAAAAAUAAUGGUUAGCAUGGGGUUAGCAGAUGGAACGACUUGAAGUAAGCCAUCCAGUAUUCCUAGCACUACAAUUUAACCACUUUAUUUUGUGUCAGAGAAAGGGGUAAAAUGUAAUAAUCAUAUACCCACCAUCUGAAUAAUGUUGAACUACAAAAUGUCCUUGUAAUUUUCACAACUACUGUCUGAUGUUUGAGGAUGUUAACUGAAAACAUAAAUUCCAUAUCUACCACAUUUACACCAGCAACAGUAUAAAAUGUAAGCCUAAAUUUGCAAAAUUCAUAAUAAUUUAGUGAUGAAAUUUUUUAAUAACAUGCAGUAUAUAUAAAUGCAGAUUUUAUGCAAGUGUUGACAAAGUCAUUUUUCAGCUUGCAAAAUGGGACUACAAUAUUACAUUUUUCACUUCAGCAAUUUUUUACAUCUAUGUUGUUGCUUUCUAUAAUGAAUGUGAAUGCUGUCUUUUAUGAAUGCCUUUUUCAUUACAGAAAUUUUUGUUUGAUGUAAUCAAUAAACUUUGGUAUGAUACGAUA